ACCUCGGUGGUGUAGUGGUAGAACACGCGUCUUCGAUAUAGACGAAACGCGGGUUCGACUCCCGUUUGAAGUC